UGUUGAGGAAGAUAAUGACGGUACUCAACAAGGAAGUGACGGCUAACUACGUGCCAGCAGCCGCGGUAAAACGUAGGUCACAAGCGUUGUCCGGAAUUACUGGGUGUAAAGGGAGCGCAGGCGGGAAGGCAAGUUGGAAGUGAAAUCCAUGGGCUCAACCCAUGAACUGCUUUCAAAACUGUUUUUCUUGAGUAGUGCAGAGGUAGGCGGAAUUCCCGGUGUAGCGGUGGAAUGCGUAGAUAUCGGGAGGAACACCAGUGGCGAAGGCGGCCUACUGGGCACCAACUGACGCUGAGGCUCGAAAGUGUGGGUAGCAAACAGGAUUAGAUACCCUGGUAGUCCACACUGUAAACGAUGAUUACUAGGUGUUGGAGGAUUGACCCCUUCAGUGCCGCAGUUAACACAAUAAGUAAUCCACCUGGGGAGUACGACCGCAAGGUUGAAACUCAAAGGAAUUGACGGGGGCCCGCACAAGCAGUGGAGUAUGUGGUUUAAUUCGACGCAACGCGAAGAACCUUACCAAGUCUUGACAUCCUGCGACGCWSMUAGAAACAKKWGUUUCCUUCGGGACGCAGAGACAGGUGGUGCAUGGUUGUCGUCAGCUCGUGUCGUGAGAUGUUGGGUUAAGUCCCGCAACGAGCGCAACCCUUAUGGUCAGUUACUACGCAAGAGGACUCUGGCCAGAUCGC
rnacentral:rRNA from 1 species